rnacentral:misc_RNA from 1 species
UCCGGUUUGUCACCGGCAGUCACUCUAGAGUGCCCACCCGAGGUGCUGGCAACUAAAGUCAAGGGUUGCGCUCGUUGCGGGACUUAACCCAACAUCUCACGACACGAGCUGACGACAACCAUGCACCACCUGUCACUUCUGCCCCGAAGGGAAAGGCUAUCUCUAGCCCGGUCAGAAGGAUGUCAAGACUUGGUAAGGUUCUUCGCGUUGCUUCGAAUUAAACCACAUACUCCACUGCUUGUGCGGGUCCCCGUCAAUUCCUUUGAGUUUCAGUCUUGCGACCGUACUCCCCAGGCGGAGUGCUUAAUGCGUGAACUUCGGCACCCAGGGUAUCGAAACCCCGAACACCUAGCACUCAUCGUUUACGGCGUGGACUAC